rnacentral:rRNA from 1 species
AGAGUUUGAUCAUGGCUCAGAGUGAACGCUGGCGGUAGGCCUAACACAUGCAAGUCGAACGGCAGCACAGGAGAGCUUGCUCUCUGGGUGGCGAGUGGCGGACGGGUGAGGAAUACAUCGGAAUCUACCUUUUCGUGGGGGAUAACGUAGGGAAACUUACGCUAAUACCGCAUACGACCUACGGGUGAAAGUGGGGGACCGCAAGGCCUCAUGCGAUUAGAUGAGCCGAUGUCCGAUUAGCUAGUUGGCGGGGUAAUGGCCCACCAAGGCGACGAUCGGUAGCUGGUCUGAGAGGAUAAUCAGCCACACUGGAACUGAGACACGGUCCAGACUCCUACGGGAGGCAGCAGUGGGGAAUAUUGGACAAUGGGCGCAAGUCUGAUCCAGCCAUACCGCGUGGGUGAAGAAGGCCUUCGGGUUGUAAAGCCCUUUUGUUGGGAAAGAAAUCCUAUCGGUUAAUAACCGGUGGGGAUGACGGUACCCAAAGAAUAAGCACCGGCUAACUUCGUGCCAGCAGCCGCGGUAAUACGAAGGGUGCAAGCGUUACUCGGAAUUACUGGGCGUAAAGCGUGCGUAGGUGGUGGUUUAAGUCUGCUGUGAAAGCCCUGGGCUCAACCUGGGAAUUGCAGUGGAUACUGGAUCACUAGAGUGUGGUAGAGGGAUGCGGAAUUUCUGGUGUAGCAGUGAAAUGCGUAGAGAUCAGAAGGAACAUCCGUGGCGAAGGCGGCAUCCUGGGCCAACACUGACACUGAGGCACGAAAGCGUGGGGAGCAAACAGGAUUAGAUACCCUGGUAGUCC